UACGUAGGCAGCAAGCGUUUGUUCGGAGUUACUGGGCGUAAAGGGUGUGUAGGCGGUUCUUUUUAAGUUUGGUGUGAAAUCUCCCGGCUCAACCGGGAGGGUGCGCCGAAUACUGAGGGACUAGAGUGUGGGAGAGGAAAGUGGAAUUCCUGGUGUAGCGGUGAAAUGCGUAGAUAUCAGGAGGAACACCGGUGGUGUAGACGGCUUUCUGGACCAUAACUGACGCUGAGACACGAAAAGCGUGGGUAGCAAACAGG
rnacentral:rRNA from 1 species